rnacentral:rRNA from 1 species
AUUGAACGCUGGCGGCAGGCCUAACACAUGCAAGUCGAGCGGCAGCGGGAAAGUAGCUUGCUACUUUUGCCGGCGAGCGGCGGACGGGUGAGUAAUGCCUGGGAAAUUGCCCAGUCGAGGGGGAUAACAGUUGGAAACGACUGCUAAUACCGCAUACGCCCUACGGGGGAAAGCAGGGGACCUUCGGGCCUUGCGCGAUUGGAUAUGCCCAGGUGGGAUUAGCUAGUUGGUGAGGUAAUGGCUCACCAAGGCGACGAUCCCUAGCUGGUCUGAGAGGAUGAUCAGCCACACUGGAACUGAGACACGGUCCAGACUCCUACGGGAGGCAGCAGUGGGGAAUAUUGCACAAUGGGGGAAACCCUGAUGCAGCCAUGCCGCGUGUGUGAAGAAGGCCUUCGGGUUGUAAAGCACUUUCAGCGAGGAGGAAAGGUUGUUGGCUAAUACCCAACAGCUGUGACGUUACUCGCAGAAGAAGCACCGGCUAACUCCGUGCCAGCCGCCGCAGUAAGAC